rnacentral:rRNA from 2 species
UUACCACUUUGUGGUUCAUGACUGGGGUGAAGUCGUAACAAGGUAGCGCUAGGGGAACCUGGCGCUGGAUCACCUCCUUAUACGAUGAU